AUGCGUCCACUAGCAAGCAAAUUGGUUGAAGACACUGAUUUGUCAUAUUACCAGUCGAUUUAUGACGCCAACAACAAAUUGGUGAACACACCAACUUAUGAUGUGCAAAACCUUAUCCCGCCAAUCCGUAAGCAUACCUACGCCCCUGAUGUUGAACCGUCCACCCUUAUAAGUGAUGAAGCUGUCUUCCAAGCCUUAACUGGGAUUGACUGGACAACCAUUGACUUCCAGCCGCUGGGUGGAGAGGAGGAGGAUGAACCGGCGCAGGAUGAUCCGCAACCUUCAAGUCAGCCUGCCGAAAAUUAA
rnacentral:rRNA from 1 species